rnacentral:tRNA from 1 species
GGGCCUAUAGCUCAGUUGGUUAGAGCCCUCGGCUCAUAACCGAGUUGUCCCAGGUUCGAGUCCUGGUGGGCCCACCA